UCUCACACACAAAAGAUCCUCACAGGCUG
rnacentral:piRNA from 1 species